UGGGGAAUUUUGGACAAUGGGGGAAACCCUGAUCCAGCCAUCCCGCGUGUGCGAUGAAGGCCUUCGGGUUGUAAAGCACUUUUGGCAGGAAAGAAACGUCGCGGGUUAAUACCCCGCGAAACUGACGGUACCUGCAGAAUAAGCACCGGCUAACUACGUGCCAGCAGCCGCGGUAAUACGUAGGGUGCAAGCGUUAAUCGGAAUUACUGGGCGUAAAGCGUGCGCAGGCGGUUCGGAAAGAAAGAUGUGAAAUCCCAGAGCUUAACUUUGGAACUGCAUUUUUAACUACCGGGCUAGAGUGUGUCAGAGGGAGGUGGAAUUCCGCGUGUAGCAGUGAAAUGCGUAGAUAUGCGGAGGAACACCAAUGGCGAAGGCAGCCUCCUGGGAUAACACUGACGCUCAUGCACGAAAGCGUGGGGAGCAAAACAGGAUUAGAUACCCUGGUAGUCCACGCCCUAAAACGAUGUCAACUAGCUGUUGGGGGCCUUCGGGCCUUGGUAGCGCAGCUAACGCGUGAAGUUGACCGCCUGGGGAGUACGGUCGCAAGAUUAAAACUCAAAGGAAUUGACGGGGGUCAUAGCUGUUUCCU
rnacentral:rRNA from 1 species